UACGAAGGUGGCAAGCGUUACUCGGAAUUACUAGGCGUAAAGGGCAGGUAGGUGGUUUGGUUAGUCUGUUGUGAAAGCCUCCCGGCUUAACUGGGAGAGGUCAACGGAUACUGCCAAACUUGAGUAUAGGAGAGGUUACUGGAAUUCCCGGUGUAGCGGUGAAAUGCGCAGAUAUCAGGAAGAACACCCGUGGCGAAGGCGGUUCUCUGGGACGGUACUGACGCUGAGACGCGAAAGCGUGGGGAGCGAACAGG
rnacentral:rRNA from 1 species